GGCUCAGGAUGAACGCUAGCGAUAGGCCUAACACAUGCAAGUCGAGGGGCAGCAUAGAGUAGCAAUACUUUGAUGGCGACCGGCGCACGGGUGAGUAACACGUAUGCAACCUACCUACAUCAGGGGAAUAACCCGGAGAAAUUCGGACUAAUACCGCAUAAUACAGGGAUGCCGCAUGGCAAUAUUUGUUAAAGAUUUAUCGGAUGUAGAUGGGCAUGCGUUCCAUUAGCUAGUUGGUAAGGUAACGGCUUACCAAGGCAACGAUGGAUAGGGGAACUGAGAGGUUUGUCCCCCACACUGGAACUGAGACACGGACCAGACUCCUACGGGAGGCAGCAGUGAGGAAUAUUGGUCAAUGGACGAGAGUCUGAACCAGCCAAAUCGCGUGAAGGAAGACUGCCCUACGGGUUGUAAACUUCUUUUGUACAGGAAUAAAAGACAUUACGUGUAAUGUAUUGCAUGUACUGUACGAAUAAGCAUCGGCUAACUCC
rnacentral:rRNA from 1 species